rnacentral:rRNA from 1 species
GAUGAACGCUAGCGGCAGGCUUAAUACAUGCAAGUCGUGGGGCAGCAUGAAUGUAGCAAUACAUUUGAUGGCGACCGGCAAACGGGUGCGGAACACGUACACAACCUUCCUAUAAGUGGGGAAUAGCCCAGAGAAAUUUGGAUUAAUACCCCGUAACAUAACGAUGUGGCACCACAUUGUUAUUAUAGCUUCGGCGCUUAUUGAUGGGUGUGCGGCUGAUUAGAUAGUUGGCGGGGUAACGGCCCACCAAGUCUACGAUCAGUAGCUGAUGUGAGAGCAUGAUCAGCCACACGGGCACUGAGACACGGGCCCGACUCCUACGGGAGGCAGCAGUAAGGAAUAUUGGUCAAUGGACGCAAGUCUGAACCAGCCAUGCCGCGUGAAGGAUUAAGGUCCUCUGGAUUGUAAACUUCUUUUAUCUGGGACGAAAAAAGGCUUUUCUAAGUCACUUGACGGUACCAGAUGAAUAAGCACCGGCUAACUCCGUGCCAGCCGCCGCGGUAAUAC